GUUUUAGUAAUUUAAAUAAAAUAUUGGUCUUGUAAAUCAAAAAUAAGAAUUCUUCUAAAACU
rnacentral:tRNA from 1 species